rnacentral:rRNA from 1 species
UACGGGGGGGGUAAGCGUUGUUCGGAAUUACUGGGCGUAAAGGGCUCGUAGGCGGCCAACUAAGUCAGACGUGAAAUCCCUCAGCUUAACUGGGGAACUGCGUCUGAUACUGGAUGGCUUGGAUUCGGGAGAGGAAUGCGGAAUUCCAGGUGUAGCGGUGAAAUGCGUAGAUAUCUGGAGGAACACCGGUGGCGAAGGCGGCAUUCUGGACCGAUAUUGACGCUGAUGAGCGAAAGCCAGGGGAGCAAACGGG